GUGGCCAAGCUACUAAGGGCACAUGGGGGAUGUCUUGGCGUCAGGAGGCUUUGAAGGGCGUGGAAGACUGCGAUAAGCCCGGGGGAGUUGUCAAACGAGCGUUGAUCCUGGGAUUCCUGAACUGACGCAAGCUGAAUACAUAGGCUUGCGUAGCCAACGCGGCGAACUGAAACAUCUCAGUAACCGCUGGAAAAGAAAGAAAAAUCGAUUUCCUCAGUAGCGGCGAGCGAACGGGAAAGAGCCCAAACCGAUGGUUACGGCCAUCGGGGUUGUGGGACCAACGACAUGUAUUGCUAAGAUUUAGCCGAAUAGGACUGGAAAGUCCAAUCGAAGAAGGUAACAAUCCUGUAGGCGAAAAGUCGAAGCAGCUAGUCGGAAUCCCGAGUACCGCGGGACACGAGAAA
rnacentral:rRNA from 1 species